rnacentral:tRNA from 1 species
AGGUGAAAUAACAUAAAGGUAAUGUUUGAGAUUGCAAAUCUUACAAUAGCAGUUCGAUUCUGCUUUUCACCUA